rnacentral:rRNA from 1 species
UACAGAGGUCUCAAGCGUUGUUCGGAUUUACUGGGCGUAAAGCGCACGUAGGCGGAUCGAUCAGUCAGGGGGUGAAAUCCCAGAGCUCAACUCUGGAACUGCCUUUGAUACUGUCGAUCUGGAGUAUGGAAGAGGUGAGUGGAAUUCCGAGUGUAGAGGUGAAAUUCGUAGAUAUUCGGAGGAACACCAGUGGCGAAGGCGGCUCACUGGUCCAUUACUGACGCUGAGGUGCGAAAAGCGUGGGGAGCAAACAGG